AACUUUAUUACUGCACUCAAACUCCUCCCUCAAGAAAAUAACCCUCACUUUAUCAAUUUGGAACCCUCAAAAACUCAGAACUCCUUCGCUUCCGUCGUGCUACGCGCUUCUCCAUCGGACGUCAAAUCUCGCCGGAAUUAGGUCAAAGGAGAGAGAAAAACAAUGGAGUGGGUCAGAGAUCAAGUCGAUGCUAUCAAUUCAGAUCAGACAACUUCUCAAUCAAGCUGCUAGUCAUGAGGAAUUGAGCAAUGUUCAAAUUCUGAAUUUCGAAAUUCUGCAUUUGUUGAAGUUGAUGGCGUGCAAUCGAAGGAUUUAGUAAAUUGUAAUCGAAUUCGAUAGCUUUAGUGGAAGAAUCCUGUGAAGUUAGGAUUUGCAUGCCUGCUCUUGCUGGAAAGGCCGGGAAAAGAAUGGAUACCCUUUUGGUGCCCUUGGAGCUGUUAUGCUGUAUUUCACGCACAGAAUUCUCUGACAAAAAGGCAUACAUACGGUGGCAGAAAAGACAGUGUAGUUAAACAUGUUGGAGGAGGGGCUGAUUAAUCAUCCUGUUGUCGGUUUUGGAGAAUCCGGAAGGAAGGCCAAUGAAAUUAGGAUUCUUCUAGCUAAAAUUGAGGAAUAUGAGUAGUCUGAACUUUUGGAUGACAAAUUUAGGUGUUGAAGCAGCUUCACCUUGAAGCUCAUGAACUUACGCUUCACGAUGAUGAUAUUGAGAGGGUUCAAAGGCCUUGGGAACUUGUCCCUGCCGAUCAUAAGAUAGGAAAGCCACGUCCUUUGUUCAGGAAAUUGGUAUGCUAGAUUGAGACUACUCUUUGCUGUUGCCCAAGUAGUGGCACAACUUUUGACUACAUAAGUGUCACACCUCCAUACAUGGAAGUGGAUUAUGGGUUACUUAUGACCCAAGUAUGGGAUUCAUCCUUGGUUGGAGAAGAUACUUUUAUUGUAAGCUUUGCAUAUCUCA